GAGCACCCCUGGGUGGGGCAUGAAGUUCUUGCAUCACGACAGAUAAAAAUAGCGAAUAGUCCACAUGUCCCAGCCCUCUACAGACCCACUGCUGUUCACACACCAGAGCUCCUCUAACUGUGUGUGACAGGAUUUGUAUAGAGGAAGGGGCUUUGCAUACCUGUCCUGCCUCACUGCUCCACACACUUUAAGACCCCCAGCACUGAUCAGUGACUGUCCAGUCCUUUCACAGACACUGACACAGGCAGCAUCAUGAUGAUGUCAAAUAUUUUACUGCUGGUGAUGCUGGAACUCUUUGCUCAGGAAUCGAUGGCAGAUGUAGUUCUGACUCAGUCUCCGUCAGCUCAGUCUGUUCAGCUGGGCAACACUGUCUCUAUCAGCUGUACAGCCAGUCAGAGCGUUUACACCAACUCCAAUGGCGAGUUCCUCCACUGGUACCUGUAGAAACCUGGUCAGGCUCCUAAACUUCUGAUUUAUUAUGCCACAAAACGCCAGUCUGGGAUUCCUGAUCAUUUCAGUGGGAGUGGAUCUGGGACUCAGUUUACACUGAAAAUCACUGGAGUCCAGGCUGAAGAUGCAGGAGAUUAUUACUGUCAGAGUGCCCACAGUGGUCCUGUGUUCACACAGUGAUACAGAGCCGUACAAAAACCUCCCUCAGUCAGACUGCACAGAGACUGCACUGCUGCAGCUGGGACCUACUGCAGGUGCUGAGGGGGGAGGCACUCACCAGUGACAUUGAGGGGUCUGCUCUAAAAUAUUGAGCUACAGUGGAUUAUUAUAAAAUCAUUCAUAUUCUCUAUUCAAAGAGAUUACACUACAUUUUAAUUUCAGUGCAUCCUGACUUUUAAUUAGGAAUGUAUUCUGGAAGAAUUUCCAAUGACUUUGCAUUUUGAAUUCUUUGUAAAAUAGUUUAACACAAGAUGUCACAGAACCGUGCAGCAGUGAACAGCAGGCAGUCCAGCACA